GUGCCUGUGAAGAAUGAGGACAUGUUCAACCCAGCAGGAAGGAGCUGGCCAGUUCUGAAAAGUGAGCUGCCGUGGUGGGGACCAGUUUCGGUGACGGAAUCAGAAGUGCUGACCUCCUCCAGCGCCUGGUACAGGCAACCUGCUAGCUCCGGGCCGGACACAGGCCACACAAAGGCGUUGUUAUUCACCGGCUCUGUGAGGCUGUUAGACUCCUGUGAAUAAGGCACCAUUUGUUUUAUCUGGUCCUGGAUGGAACGAGUGUUUGCCAGAUGUCAGGAAGUGCCAGGUGCAAAGCUGCGUAACCGCCAUUCACAGAGUUUUCCAGCGCUUCGUACGGAGACAGCAUAACUGGGCCGUUUCCACUUGGAACUGCUGUCUGAGAAAAUGCCAGUCAUUUUGUUUGCAACGUAGUUCUGAAGGCUCAGCAUUAAAGUGGAAUCUCCUGUCCCUGGACAGCUAAUAAUAGGUCUGUGCUGACACUGAACAUCAGCGCCUCUGCGGGCCCGAGCUUUCACAAAGCACAGCAAGUUUUCUAUGAGGCCAAUUCCAAGGCCGGUGGCUAAGUGCAGCCCCCUAAAUCCUUUCAAGUAGCCUUUUGAAGUUGGGUGUUCACCAUAAGUGCACCACUCAGAUAGGAACAUCUCUCAGAAAAACCUGCCCUGUUUACAAGUAGUGGGGUAGCCAGAAAGGUCUAAAAACUAGGCAGUAUUGGAGAUGAUAUGAUGAUCUACUUGGAAAUCCAGAUGAACCAAUCGCAGACAAACUGUUACAAAUAAGAAUUGCAUAGGAGAGGAUAGAAUAGGUCUGGCAUGAUGGCUCAUGCCUGUAAUCCCAACACUUUGGGAGGCUGAGGUGGGAAGACCACUUGAGCUCAGGAGUUUGAGACCAGCCUGGACAACAUGGUAAAAGCCUGUCUCUACAAAAAAUACAAAAACUUAAGACAGGUGUGAUGGCUCAUGUCUGUAGUCCCAGCUACUUGGGGGCUGAGGUGGAAGGAUCACCUAAGCCCAGGAGGUGAAGGUCACAGUGAGCCAUGAUCACACCACUGUACUCCAGCCUGGGUGACAGAGCAAGACUCUGUCUCAAAAAAAAAAAAAAAA
rnacentral:lncRNA from 1 species